GCUUACGGCACACCUCCCUGAGCACGCCCGAUCUCGUCUGAUUCGGAAGCUAAGCAGGGUCGGGCCCGGUUAGACUUGGUGGGAGACCGCCUGGGAUACCAGGUGCUGUAAGCC
rnacentral:rRNA from 1 species